rnacentral:misc_RNA from 1 species
ACUAAGGUUCCGCCAAUCAUAUAUUUAUUGGACAACAUUCAAAGAAUUUGGAAAGUUUGGGCAUGAAACUUUAUCUGUUGAACUUGAUUAGGGAAGACUAUAGGAAAUACGAUGGGAGAUGAAAGCAUAUUGUACCUAUCAUAAUUUACCCGUACAUAAAGUAAGGUUAGCUGAAUUACCUCGGAAUUAAAAUAAGGAUAUUCAGAGAGUUAUAGCAAACCUUCAACUUGAGAUUAAGAAAAUGCAUAAUCAUCUGGAACAAUAUCACACGCACAUUAAUCCAUUUCAAAUUAUAUGAAAUAGUGAGGGUGUGCAAGAUCCUGCUGCAAUAGUUAAUUCAGAACCUGAGAUACUAGAUUUUAGAGAUAUUAUUGACGAUAAUGACUUUGUUAUAUGCCUUGCUCACUGUUUACCCCCGUGCUAUUAGUGAAAAA